UGGAAUCGGGAUUCGAACCUGGAACCCUCCGGCCCCCAAAGCCGAGACCCUACCACUAGGCCACC